rnacentral:misc_RNA from 1 species
GCUGGAAAUGAUCUUAAUGGAAGCCUCACUUACAGAUAUGACUUGGUUGACCUAACACGGCAAGUUCUGUCAAAGCUAGCAAAUCAAGUAUACAUUGAUGCUAUAAUUGCUUUUCAGAAGAAAGAUGCUGAUGCAUUGAAGCUUCAGAGCCAGAAAUUUUUACAACUCAUCGAUGACAUUGAUGUACUUCUUGCUUCUGAUGAUAAUUUUCUACUUGGAACAUGGCUCAAAAGUGCAAAAGAGCUGGGAGUAAAUCCUAUUGAGAUGAGGCAGUAUGAAUGGAAUGCAAGAACACAAGUGACAAUGUGGUUCGACACGACAAAAACCAAUCAGAGCCAACUCCAUGAUUAUGCUAACAAAUUUUGGAGUGGGCUACUAAAAGACUAUUAUCUUCCUCGAGCUUCAACCUAUUUUGAUCAUCUGUUAAAGAGCUUGAAAGAAAAUGAAAACUUCAAGAUUGUGGAAUGGAGGGAAGAAUGGAUAGCAUUCUCAAACAGAUGGCAAGCAAGCACAGAGCUUUAUCCAGUGACGGCCAGAGGAGAUGCUCUUGCUAUUUCUAAAGCAUUGUAUAAAAGAUAUUUUGGUUAACAAUAUGACUGGUUCAUAUAUUUAUGACAAUAAUAAGGUGGGUUCAUGCUAAAUGUUUUUGAAGGUGUAAUUAUCACUGAGCGGGUG